UGUCUUGAUGAAUAUCACAAGACCCCAUCAACAUCCCCUCGCACAUCUCUCCAUCCCAUCCAUGAAAUUAUUCAAUUGAGUACAUAUCUUUGUCUCUGCAAAAAGAAAAUUGAGCAAUCCAUCACAUACACAACCAAGCUAAUUCCUACACAUCCACUACUUUUUCUCACAUUCUUUCCGUCCAUGAUGGCCCCAGAUAAUCUUCAGGCAAAACAGGCCCCCAUAGAUGACAACCAAAUCACUACUAGUAACCGAAAAACAACGACGACGAGACCACAAGAGGAAGCUUUGAAGUGUCCAAGAUGUGACUCACCCAAUACAAAAUUCUGCUACUAUAACAAUUACAGUUUAACACAGCCUAGGCAUUUUUGCAAGACAUGUAGAAGGUACUGGACCAAAGGAGGAGCCUUGCGCAACGUUCCCUUCGGCGGUGGCUGUAGAAAAAACAAGAAGAUAAAAUCAUCUUCAAGGCUCUCAAGUGACUCCAGUGGCUCCUCAGAGAUCGGUGGAUUCAACUUCUUUCAUGGACUCUCCCCGGCCACGAAAUUUAAUCUCGGUGGGCUAUCAUUACCUAGGCUAAACCUUUCACCAAAUGGCAUAUAUAACCAUUUCCCUUCAUCUGGGGAAAUUUCAGCAACUUCUGAAGCUGCAGUUAGUAUUACUAGUCCUCGUUUCAGACUUGAUCCAUCUGUUAGUUCCACUGCUGGUUAUGGUUCCUUAAUGGGGCUUAGUUAUCCACUUACUUCGGUUAGUAGUGGAUUUUGUGGAGCAAUUCAAGAGAAUAUCGGUGGCGCAUCAAUGAAUGUCAACACUAAUCUCGCGUCUUCAAUUGAAUCUCUGAGUUGUAUAAACCAAGAUUUACACUGGAAGUUGCAGCAACAGAGAUUGGCUAUGCUAUUUGGUACAGGAAAAAAUCAUAGAGAUGACAGUACUGUUUCUACAGCCCCUAUUGAGAACCAUGUCCAGAAACUACAACCUAUUAUGUUUGAAAAUCUUGAAAUUUCAAAACCACAAGUAUGUGCUGCUGGUAAUUCAAGAAAAGAUGGUGCAACUAGUGGUGAUCCAGCAACUGAGUGGUUCUUUGGGAAUUCAUAUGAUCAAUUGACUGCCACGCCAACAAAUAGGAGCAACAAUGGCAAUAAUGACAACACAGGCAAUUGGAAUGGCGUUCAAGCAUGGGGUGAUUUGCAUCAGUAUAGUGCUUUGCCCUAGACAAGAAAGCAUCAAGAGGUAGAACAUAGUGAAAGAAAUAGGAAAAAUGAGAAUACUAUCUAAAUCCUAAUUUGGAGGUUUUUUUAUCAACUUGUUCUUGGUUUGUUGGGUACUGAUCAACUUGUAAAAGUUGGGAAAAAAAUAGACUAUUUAUCUCUUUCUUGUGAUUUUCUUUUUGUUCUUUUGUAUUGUUAAUAUAAUUUAGGGCUUGCUGUUUCUACAAAUGGUGCUGAUAAUAUUUCUCUUUGUUAUUAGAUGUAUGUAUCCCUUUUGCAUAUUUACCAUAAAGAUGCAGGACUACUGUUGUUAAUGCUAGAAAUAAAAGGAUGGUUUCAGACCAAAAAGAAAGCGGUGGAUGUUCAGCGUUCUUUCUCACACGAAUAGAUAUAUAUAUAUGAACCAGAAUGGAUGGCAUUUAAUUUUACACUGCAUGAUCGUAUGAAUAUAUCGGAGGUGCUAGCUUGGUAUCCAUCGAGCUACAUAAUGCCCAUGGUAGCCUUAUGGUCAUGGUAAACAGGAGAUCUGAGUGUCAGGCACCUCAGCUAAUGAGCAAACGACGACAGCACCACAGUGUCAGUAGCUGGGCAAGUAAAGUCUUCCCUGCGUGGGUCCUCGCUUAUAUAGCCAGCUGCUUUGCUUUAUCUUCCCUCUCACUUUCUCUGUCCUUCUCUCUGAGGGUACAGGGCUCGGCAUAAUAAUGAAAGAGUAUCAGCAAAUGAAGAGAGAUGGCACCUCCAGCUGGUGUGGUGUUCGUUUCUUUUGCAUACAAAAAUGUUUUGCGUAGCUUUUUAAUACUGUCUUGGGGA